GCCAGGCUGGCUCAGUCAGUAGAGCAUGCGACUCUUGAUCUCAGGGCUGUGAGUUCAAGCCCCACGCUGGGCG
rnacentral:tRNA from 1 species